rnacentral:rRNA from 1 species
CCUACGGGAGGCAGCAGUAGGGAAUCUUCCGCAAUGGACGCAAGUCUGACGGAGCAACGCCGCGUGAGUGAAGAAGGGUUUCGGCUCGUAAAACUCUGUUGUUAAGGAAGAAUGACACAUGGAGUAACUGCCAUGUGUGUGACGGUACUUAACCAGAAAGCCACGGCUAACUACGUGCCAGCAGCCGCGGUAAU